UAGGGAAUCCUCCACAAUGGACGCAAGUCUGAUGGAGCAACGCCGCGUGAGUGAAGAAGGUCUUCGGAUCGUAAAGCUCUGUUGUUGGUGAAGAAGGAUAGAGGCAGUAACUGGUCUUUAUUUGACGGUAAUCAACCAGAAAGUCACGGCUAACUACGUGCCAGCAGCCGCGGUAAUACGUAGGUGGCAAGCGUUGUCCGGAUUUAUUGGGCGUAAAGCGAGCGCAGGCGGAAUGAUAAGUCUGAUGUGAAAGCCCACGGCUCAACCGUGGAACUGCAUCGGAAACUGUCAUUCUUGAGUGCAGAAGAGGAGAGUGGAACUCCAUGUGUAGCGGUGGAAUGCGUAGAUAUAUGGAAGAACACCAGUGGCGAAGGCGGCUCUCUGGUCUGCAACUGACGCUGAGGCUCGAAAGCAUGGGUAGCGAACAGGAUUAGAUACCCUGGUAGUCCAUGCCGUAAACGAUGAGCGCUAGGUGUUGGGGACUUUCCGGUCCUCAGUGCCGCAGCAAACGCAUUAAGCGCUCCGCCUGGGGAGUACGACCGCAAGGUUGA
rnacentral:rRNA from 1 species